rnacentral:rRNA from 1 species
AGAGAUGGAUUGGUGCCUUCGGGAACGUUACAUACAGGUGCUGCAUGGCUGUCGUCAGCUCGUGUCGUGAGAUGUUGGGUUAAGUCCCGCAACGAGCGCAACCCUCGCCUUUAGUUGCCAGCAUUCAGUUGGGCACUCUAGAGGGACUGCCGGUGUCAAACCGGAGGAAGGUGGGAUGACGUCAAGUCCUCAUGGCCUUUAUGUCUAGGGCUACACACGUACUACAAUGGCCGGUACAAAGGGCAGCCACUCAGCGAUGAGGCGCUAAUCCCAUAAAGCCGGUCUCAGUCCGGAUCGCAGUCUGCAACUCGACUGCGUGAAGUUGGAAUCGCUAGUAAUCGUAGAUCAGCAUGCUACGGUGAAUACGUUCCCGGGCCUU